rnacentral:rRNA from 1 species
GGAUUGAUACUAAGCCAUGCGAGUCAUUGUAGCAAUGCAAGGCAGACGGCUCAGUAACGCGUAGUCAAUCUACCCUAUGGACGGGAAUAACCUCGGGAAACUGAGAAUAAUGCCCGAUAGAACAUUAUGCCUGGAAUGGUUUAUGUUUCAAAUGAUUUAUCGCCAUAGGAUGGGACUGCGGCCUAUCAGUUUGUUGGUGAGGUAAUGGCCCACCAAGACUAUUACAGGUACGGGCUCUGAGAGGAGUAGCCCGGAGAUGGGUACUGAGACACGGACCCAGGCCCUAUGGGGCGCAGCAGGCGGGAAAACUUUGCAAUGUGCGAAAGCACGACAAGGUUAAUCCGAGUGGUUUCUGCUAAAGAAACCUUUUGUCAGUCCUAGAAACACUAACGAAUAAGGGGUGGGCAAGUUCUGGUGUCAGCCGCCGCGGUAAAACCAGCACCUCAAGUGGUCAGGAUGAUUAUUGGGCCUAAAGCAUCCGUAGCUCGUUUUGUAAGUUUUCGGUUAAAUCCAUGCGCUUAACGUAUGGGCUGCCGGGAAUACUGCAUAACUAGGAAGUGGGAGAGGUAGACGGUACUCGGGAGGAAGGGGUAAAAUCCUUUGAUCUCUUGAUGACCACCUGUGGCGAAGGCGGUCUACCAGAACACGUUCGACGGUGAGGGAUGAAAGCUGGGGGAGCAAACCGGAUUAGAUACCCGGGUAGUCCCAGCUGUAAACUAUGCAAACUCAGUGAUGCAUUGGCUUAUGGCCAAUGCAGUGCUGCAGGGAAGCCGUUAAGUUUGCCGCCUGGGAAGUACGUACGCAAGUAUGAAACUUAAAGGAAUUGGCGGGGGAGCACCACAAGGGGUGAAGCCUGCGGUUCAAUUGGAGUCAACGCC